rnacentral:rRNA from 1 species
UACGGAGGAUGCGAGCGUUAUCCGGAUUUAUUGGGUUUAAAGGGUGCGUAGGCGGGAUGCCAAGUCAGCGGUAAAAAUGCGGUGCUCAACGCCGUCGAGCCGUUGAAACUGGCGUUCUUGAGUGGGCGAGAAGUAUGCGGAAUGCGUGGUGUAGCGGUGAAAUGCAUAGAUAUCACGCAGAACUCGGAUUGCGAAGGCAGCAUACCGGCGCCCUACUGACGCUGAGGCACGAAAGCGUGGGUAUCGAACAGG